rnacentral:tRNA from 1 species
UUCCUGGUGUCCUAGUGGUUAAGGAUAGGCAUUGUCACUGCUGUGACUUGGGUUCAUUCCCUGGCCUGGGAA